rnacentral:rRNA from 1 species
GACGAACGCUGGCGGCGUGCUUAACACAUGCAAGUCGAACGGAAAGGCCCUACCUUUCUGGGGUGCUCGAGUGGCGAACGGGUGAGUAACACGUGGGUGACCUGCCUUGCACUCUGGGAUAAGCUCGGGAAACUGGGUCUAAUACCGGAUAUGAACUGCUUCUGGUGUGGUGGUUGGAAAGUUUUUUCGGUGCUGGGUGGGCUCGCGGCUUAUCAGCUGGUGGGUGGGGUAGUGGCUUACCAAGGCGUCGACGGGUAGCCGGCCGGGGAGGGGGACCGGCAAAAUUGGGAUGGGGUUCGGGCCAGACUCCUACGGGGGGCAAGAGGGGGGGAAAAUGGACAAUGGGGGGGAGGCCGAUGCAGGGAAGCCCGGUGGGGGGUUGCGGCCUUCGGGUUGUAAACUCCUUUCGACAGGGACGGAGCUUUUUGUGACGGUAACUGUAAAAGAAGCACCGGCUAACUACGUG